CAGCCACAUCACAUUGAAACAUCGGUUCCUGUACGAUCACCAAAGUUAAGCAAAGUCGAGCCUAGCCAGUAACUAGAUGGGUAACCACUUCAGAAUACCAGGUGCUGUAAG